GCAACAGGUACUAUAAGAAUUUGGUGUGAUCUUUUCACACUUAAAAAAUUUUUUUCACAUAUAUGCGUGGGCUCAUGGGAAAUAUAUAUUGUGUGUCAGCAUGUGUGUGUGUAUGUGUGGCUUGUUUUACACAGAGGGUGGCGCAGUUACAUAUCACACAGCAAAACGCUUUUUUUAAACUCAGGCACAGCCAGAUGGGCUGCCGUUGGUUGCAAGCCUGGAAGAGUCAGAAAGAAACCUGAGGCUGUCAAGGAAGCUUGAAGGUGGGUCUUCAACUCUGGGCCCAGAAGGAGCAUCACCUCCACCUGGCCUUGUCUGGUUCAUCUACAGCCUGCAGGAAGAGAGGGGGAGGGGGGGAGAGGGGGAAAGGGAGAGAGGAAGAGAGGGGAGAGGAAGACAGGGGAGAGGAAGAGAGAGAGAGGGAGAGGGACAGAGGGAGAGAGGGAGAGGAAGAGAGGAGGGAGGGAGGGAGAGAGAGAGAGAGAGAGAGAGAGAGA
rnacentral:lncRNA from 1 species